rnacentral:rRNA from 1 species
GACGAACGCUGGCGGCGCGCUUAACACAUGCAAGUCGAACGGAAAGGCCCUGCUUUUGUGGGGUGCUCGAGUGGCGAACGGGUGAGUAACACGUGAGUAACCUGCCCUUGACUUUGGGAUAACUUCAGGAAACUGGGGCUAAUACCGGAUAGGAGCUCCUGCUGCAUGGUGGGGGUUGGAAAGUUUCGGCGGUUGGGGAUGGACUCGCGGCUUAUCAGCUUGUUGGUGGGGUAGUGGCUUACCAAGGCUUUGACGGGUAGCCGGCCUGAGAGGGUGACCGGCCACAUUGGGACUGAGAUACGGCCCAGACUCCUACGGGAGGCAGCAGUGGGGAAUAUUGCACAAUGGGCGGAAGCCUGAUGCAGCAACGCCGCGUGCGGGAUGACGGCCUUCGGGUUGUAAACCGCUUUCGCCUGUGACGAAGCGUGAGUGACGGUAAUGGGUAAAGAAGCACCGGCUACUACGUG